UACGUAGGGUGCGAGCGUUGUCCGGAAUUAUUGGGCGUAAAGAGCUCGUAGGCGGUCUGUCGCGUCGAUCGUGAAAACUUGGGGCUUAACCCUGAGCUUGCGGUCGAUACGGGCAUGACUGGAGUUCGGCAGGGGAGACUGGAAUUCCAGGUGUAGCGGUGAAAUGCGUAGAUAUCUGGAGGAACACCGGUGGCGAAGGCGGCAAUCCUGG
rnacentral:rRNA from 1 species